ACUCAAAGGAAUUGACGGGGACCCGCACAAGCGGUGGAGCAUGUGGUUUAAUUCGACGCAACGCGAAGAACCUUACCAGGGCUUGACAUCGAGUGAAAAUGCUAGAGAUAGCAUCCUCUCUUCGGAGACACGAAGACAGGUGGUGCAUGGUUGUCGUCAGCUCGUGUCGUGAGAUGUUGGGUUAAGUCCCGCAACGAGCGCAACCCCUAUUGUCAGUUACUAACAGGUGAAGCUGAGGACUCUGGCGAGACUGCCGUUGACAAAACGGAGGAAGGUGGGGAUGACGUCAAAUCAUCAUGCCCCUUAUGUCCUGGGCUACACACGUGCUACAAUGGACGGUACAAAGGGAAGCGAAGCCGCGAGGUGGAGCCAAUCCCAUAAAGCCGUUCUCAGUUCGGAUUGCAGGCUGCAACUCGCCUGCAUGAAGUCGGAAUCGCUAGUAAUCGCAGGUCAGCACACUGCGGUGAAUACGUUCCCGGGUCUUGUACACACCGCCCGU
rnacentral:rRNA from 1 species